rnacentral:tRNA from 1 species
ACUAUAUUGGCAGAUAAGUGUAAUGGAUUUAGAAUCUAUAAAUGUAAGUUAUUAUUACAUGUAGUA